rnacentral:rRNA from 1 species
GGCCCGGGGCAGAAGCCCCCGGGGGGCCUGAGGCGGGCCCGCCGAAGCAACGGGUACAGAGACAGGAUGGGAGGUUGAACCCAGAGGGGCCCCCCCCUCGUCNCUCUCUUCUUGGGGGGGGGGCUGCGGAAGGAUCAUUACCGAGUGCGGGCCCUCUGGGUCCAACCUCCCAUCCGUGUCUCUUGUACCCUGUUGCUUCGGCGGGCCCGCCUUCAUGGCCGCCGGGGGGCUUCUGCCCCCGGGCCCGCGCCCGCCGGAGACUCCAACAUUGAACACUGUCUGAAGGUUGCAGUCUGAGUUUUCUAUAAGAAAAAUCGUUAAAACUUUCAACAACGGAUCUCUUGGUUCCGGCAUCGAUGAAGAACGCAGCGAAAUGCGAUACGUAAUGUGAAUUGCAGAAUUCAGUGAAUCAUCGAGUCUUUGAACGCACAUUGCGCCCUCUGGUAUUCCGGGGGGCAUGCCUGUCCGAGCGUCAUUGCUGCCCUCAAGCACGGCUUGUGUGUUGGGCCCCCGUCCCGGUUCUCCAAGCCGGGACGGGCCCGAAAGGCAGCGGCGGCACCGUGUCCGGUCCUCGAGUGUAUGGGGCUCUGUCACUCACUCGUGUAGGUCCGGCCGGCGGCCAGCCUCUUCAACCAUUUUUUAACCAGGUUGACCUCGGAUCAGGUAGGGAUACCCGCUGAACUUAAGCAUAUCAANAAGGGAAAGGAAAACAUUACCGAGUGCGGGCCCUCUGGGUCCAACCUCCAUCCGUGUCUCUUGUACCCUGUUGCUUCGGCGGGCCCGCCUUCAUGGCCGCCGGGGGGCUUCUGCCCCGGGCCGCGCGCGGAGACUCACAUUGAACACUGGUCUGAAGGUUGCAGUCUGAGAUUUUUCUAUAAGAAAAAAU